UCCGAGUUGUCCCCGGCAGUCCUCUUAAAGUCCCCGGCAUUACCCGCUGGUAACUAAGAGCAGGGGUUGCGCUCGUUGCGGCACUUAAGCCAACACCUCACGGCACGAGCUGACGACAGCCAUGCAGCACCUGUGCUGGCCCCUUGCGGACACGGGCUUUCACCCGCUUUAACCAGCAUGUCAAGCCCAGGUAAGGUUCUUCGCGUUGCGUCGAAUUAAACCACAUGCUCCACUGCUUGUGCGGGCCCCCGUCAAUUCCUUUGAGUUUCAACCUUGCGGCCGUAUUCCCCAGGUGAGGACUUAAUGCGUUAGCUGCGGCACCGAACCUUGCGGUCCGACACCUAGUCCUCAUCGUUUAGGGCGCGGACUAC
rnacentral:misc_RNA from 1 species